AGGUAAAAUUUUUGCAAAGCGAACAUAUCUGUGUAACCAGCAUUCAGAUCAGGAAACAAAACAUUACCAGCAUCCCAGAACUCCCCUUUGUGUUCCCCUCUAGCCACUAUACUCCCUUCAGAGGUAACCACUAACACCUAAUUUUGACCCCUUACAUAAAUCUUAGCUGCUUAUUUCUUCACUGUAUUCUGAAAAUAAUGACUUAUAAAGUUAGGAAUGGAAAGGACUAACUUGCUCUGUUUCUUCUUUCCAUAGCAUGUUUUUGGUUCAGUUAAGCUUCAGAGUCAGAAACAAUUUAUUUAACUUUUUGUUUGAUUAUGGGAAUAUUUAGAAAUAUGUGUAUGUCAUUCUAAUAAUAACUUCUCCUAUUUGUGGAAUUUUUAUGAUUUUCCAAGUGUUUUCUCAUAUGUUUUCUUUGAUCCUCAUUCACAUAAGGUUGAAAUACACAUUUUGUCAUGUGAAAGUAUUAUAUUACUGUCAUUAUUUGUUUUUUGUUUUUUUGAGACAGAGUCUCACUCUGUCGCCCAGGCUGGUGUGCAGUGGCAACAUCUUGGCUCACUAUAACCUCUGCCUCUCAGGCUCAAGCGAUACUCCUGCCUCAGCCCCCGCAAAUAGCUGGGACUACAGGUACAUGCCACUACACCCAGCUUAUUGUUGUGUUUUUUGUAGAUAAAGGGUUUCAUCAUGUUACCCAGGCUGGUCUCAAACUCGUGAGCUCAAGCCAUCCACCUGCCUUGACCUCCCAAAGUGCUGGGAUUACAGGUGUGAGCCACUGCUCCCGGCCUACUGUCACUAUUUGUGAUAAUAAAAUUGUUUCUUGGUAGUGUUACAUAUUACCAAAUAGUACCAUUUAUUUUCCAAAAACUAAUUAAUUUUAUUUUUCUUUAAAAAAUAAUUGUUUAUGCAGGUUCUUGAAUUAGUGUUGGAAAACUUUGUUUAUCCGUGGUACAGGGAUGUGACAGAUGAUGAAUCCUUUGUUGAUGAACUGAGAAUAACAUUACGGUUUUUUGCUUCUGUCCUAAUAAGAAGGAUUCACAAGGUGGAUAUUCCAUCUAUUAUAACCAAGAAACUAUUAAAAGCAGCAAUGAAGCAUAUAGAAGUGAUAGUUAAAGCCAGACAGAAAGUAAAAAACACAGAGUUUUUACAGCAAGCUGCUUUAGAAGAAUAUGGUCCAGAGCUUCAUGUUGCUUUGAGAAGUCGAAGAGAUGAAUUGCACUAUUUAAGGAAACUUACUGAACUGCUUUUUCCUUAUAUUUUGCCUCCUAAAGCAACAGACUGCAGAUCUCUGACCUUACUUAUAAGAGAGAUUCUGUCUGGCUCUGUGUUCCUUCCAUCUUUGGAUUUCCUAGCUGAUCCAGAUACUGUGAAUCAUUUGCUUAUCAUCUUCAUAGAUGACAGUCCACCCGAAAAAGCAACUGAACCGGCUUCUCCUUUGGUUCCAUUCUUGCAGAAAUUUGCAGAACCUAGAAAUAAAAAGCCAUCUGUGCUGAAGUUAGAAUUGAAGCAAAUCAGAGAGCAACAAGAUCUUUUAUUUCGUUUUAUGAACUUUCUGAAACAAGAAGGAGCAGUGCACGUGUUGCAGUUUUGUUUGACUGUGGAGGAAUUUAAUGAUAGAAUUUUACGACCAGAAUUAUCAAAUGAUGAAAUGCUGUCUCUUCAUGAAGAGUUGCAGAAGAUUUAUAAAACAUACUGUUUGGAUGAAAGUAUUGACAAAAUUAGAUUUGAUCCCUUCAUCGUAGAAGAGAUUCAAAGAAUUGCUGAAGGCCCAUACAUAGAUGUUGUGAAACUUCAAACUAUGAGGUGUCUUUUUGAAGCAUAUGAACAUGUUCUUUCCCUUUUGGAGAAUGUAUUUACUCCUAUGUUCUGCCAUAGUGAUGAGUAUUUCAGACAACUUUUAAGAGGUGCAGAAUCACCAACACGCAAUUCAAAAUUGAACAGAGGUAGCCUAAGUUUGGAUGAUUUUCGGAACACACAGAAAAGGGGAGAAUCAUUUGGAAUCAGCAGAAUAGGUAGCAAAAUUAAAGGAGUAUUCAAAAGUACCACAAUGGAGGGAGCUAUGUUGCCUAAUUAUGGUGUAGCUGAAGGUGAAGAUGAUUUUAUUGAAGAAGGUAUUGUUGUAAUGGAAGAUGAUUCUCCAGUGGAGGCUGUGAGCACACCUAAUACUCCCCGAAACCUUGCUGCAUGGAAAAUUAGCAUUCCAUAUGUAGACUUUUUUGAGGAUCCCUCCUCUGAAAGGAAGGAGAAAAAAGAAAGAAUCCCUGUGUUUUGUAUUGAUGUUGAAAGAAAUGAUAGAAGAGCAGUUGGACACGAGCCUGAACAUUGGUCUGUCUAUAGAAGAUAUCUUGAAUUCUAUGUACUUGAAUCAAAACUAACAGAAUUUCAUGGUACAUUUCCUGAUGCCCAGCUUCCUUCUAAGAGGAUCAUUGGUCCCAAAAAUUAUGAAUUCUUAAAGUCAAAGAGGGAAGAGUUCCAAGAAUAUCUACAGAAACUUCUGCAGCAUCCAGAACUGAGUAAUAGUCAACUUCUGGCAGACUUUCUUUCCCCUAAUGGUGGGGAAACACAAUUUCUUGAUAAGAUACUACCAGAUGUAAAUCUUGGGAAAAUUAUAAAAUCUGUUCCUGGAAAACUAAUGAAAGAGAAAGGUCAGCAUUUGGAACCUUUUAUCAUGAAUUUCAUUAAUUCUUGUGAAUCUCCAAAGCCUAAACCAAGUAGACCAGAACUGACCAUUCUCAGCCCUACUUCAGAAAACAACAAGAAGCUUUUCAAUGAUCUGUUUAAAAAUAAUGCAAACCGUGCUGAAAAUACAGAGAGAAAGCAAAAUCAGAAUUAUUUUAUGGAGGUGAUGACUGUAGAAGGAGUCUAUGAUUACCUGAUGUAUGUAGGACGGGUCGUUUUCCAGGUUCCUGACUGGCUUCAUCAUCUCUUAAUGGGAACUCGAAUCCUCUUUAAAAACACCCUGGAAAUGUAUACUGAUUACUAUCUUCAGUGUAAACUAGAACAGCUAUUUCAGGAGCACCGUUUGGUCUCACUCAUAACACUUCUCAGAGAUGCUAUAUUCUGUGAAAACACUGAACCUCGCUCUCUCCAAGAUAAGCAAAAAGGAGCAAAACAGACAUUUGAAGAAAUGAUGAAUUACAUUCCAGAUCUGUUAGUCAAGUGUAUUGGUGAAGAAACGAAGUAUGAAAGCAUCAGACUUCUGUUUGAUGGCUUACAACAACCAGUACUCAACAAGCAGCUGACUUAUGUUUUAUUGGACAUUGUGAUACAGGAACUGUUUCCAGAGCUCAAUAAGGUACAAAAGGAAGUUACCUCUGUGACAUCUUGGAUGUAAACACUUGGAUUUGGUAUAGAAUAACCCAUUGAAAUUUCUGCUGUGCUAGGGUGGUAGAAAUUUACUUUUUUGGGUAUAUUCUUAUACAUAUUAUGUACAUCGCUGUCUGAAAUUUUAAUUAUUUUUUGUUUUUAAUAAAGACUAACACAAACUUAAUAAUGAUU
rnacentral:sRNA from 1 species